rnacentral:tRNA from 1 species
UCCCUGGUGGUCCAGUGGUUAGGCCUCUGAAUUCCCAAUGCAGGGGGCUCAGGUUUGAUCCCUGGUCGGGGAU